UAGAUGUUAGCUCAAUUGGAAGAGCGCCUGUUUUGCAGGCAGGAGGUUGCGAGUUCAAGUCCCGCACAUCUAUC
rnacentral:tRNA from 1 species